GGUCGGUUGUCCGAGUGGUCAGGAGCCAGUCCGCAAAACUGGGUACGCGGGUUCGAAUCCCGCACCGACCUCGA
rnacentral:tRNA from 1 species